UACAGAGGGUGCGAGCGUUGUUCGGAAUUAUUGGGCUUAAAGGGCGCGUAGGCGGCUGGGCAAGUCAGGGGUGAAAUCUUUCGGCUCAACCGGAAAAGUGCCUCUGAUACUGUUCAGCUCGAGGGAGAUAGGGGCGGACGGAACUUCCGGUGGAGCGGUGAAAUGCGUUGAUAUCGGAAGGAACGCCGGUGGCGAAAGCGGUCCGCUAGGUCUCUACUGACGCUGAGGCGCGAAAGCCAGGGGAGCAAAGCGGG
rnacentral:rRNA from 1 species